GUCCACGCCCUAAACGAUGAUAACUCGAUGUGUGCGAUACACAGCACGCGUCCAAGCGAAAGCAUUAAGUUAUCCACCUGGGAAGUACGACCGCAAGGUUGAAACUCAAAGGAAUUGACGGGGGCCCGCACAAGCGGAGGAGCAUGUGGUUUAAUUCGAUGGUACGCGAGGAACCUUACCUGGGCUUGAAAGUUAGUGAAUGACGCAGAAAACGCGUCAGGCCGAAAAGGACACGAAAACUAGGUGCUGCAAUGGCUGUCGU
rnacentral:rRNA from 1 species